rnacentral:lncRNA from 1 species
GGAGCCUUAUCUCAGAAUGAAGGUUGAAUUGUGAACCUGAUCUUCCCCGUAUCCACAAGUGAAUUACGAGCAUGCUCUUCGUGUGUCAAGUUAUGAGUUCCACGUCAUUUACAAAAGACGACAAACCAUGUUGUACAAUCGGCUACCUCUUACCUUUUAAUGCAAUAUCUAUGCUUUAAUGAAAAAAAAAAGUUAGGAAAUGUGAAAUCUGGUACAAUGAAAAAAAUUCUCUUAUUUUUGCAUUAUCAUUAUUAUGAAGAGACCAUCUCUCACUUAAGAGAAAGCUCAAACAUAUCUUUAUUCUUCUCUUCCACAUUAGCAAUUAUCCACCUAUCAUCGUUAAAGAAAAAGGUUGACUUCACCUCAUUUUACAAGCCCGUAAGAGCAUAUACAAUAAUCGAUAAGACUAUUCUCUUAUGUGUUUCAUGACAUCUAGAAAAAAAAACUAUCUUUAAAUUUUACUCCCUCCGAUCCAUAAAAAAUAUCUUUCAAUUAGUACAAAAUUUAUACUAACUUAAUACAAAAUGUGUAUCGGACGGAGUAGUUGUUUGUGAGUGCGCACCCAAUAGUGCAAGGAGAUGGAUCUAGGAACCCACAUGUCAGUAGCUCCAUGUUACCCUUAGGCACGUCAUGGAUCCAUCGCAACAACCUGCCACACCUGAAGACAACAUGUCUGUCAACCAAGAUUUUGGUUAUCAUCCGGUAACCACAUUUCCAAGACUGCCCUCUAUCUCCCCCCAGAAAAUGGAUUAAAAGAAAUCUUUUUUAAAAAAAAAUGAAUUUAAACCAUGAAUUAACGAACCUAUGGUUGUAUUUGCAGAAUUAAGAGAUAGCUCCGUGAAUUGUAUUAUUGUUGCAUUUGCAGAAUUACAUAUGUGUAGUACAUAAUCAUCUUCGUAACAGAAAAUUCUGAAUUCAAAAUUUGAUUAAAAAUCAUCCGGUAAACGGUCAGGAUUUUUCAGAUAUACCCUCGAUCGUUACCGCAAAUCCAGGUCUAAAAAAAAAUAUCCAAAGAGUUGACUACUCAGUAC